AUUGAACGCUGGCUGCAGGCCUAACACAUGCAAGUCGAGCGGUAGCACAGAGAGCUUGCUCUCGGGUGACGAGCGGCGGACGGGUGAGUAAUGUCUGGGAAACUGCCUGAUGGAGGGGGAUAACUACUGGAAACGGUAGCUAAUACCGCAUAAUGUCGCAAGACCAAAGUGGGGGACCUUCGGGCCUCAUGCCAUCAGAUGUGCCCAGAUGGGAUUAGCUAGUAGGUGGGGUAACGGCUCACCUAGGCGACGAUCCCUAGCUGGUCUGAGAGGAUGACCAGCCACACUGGAACUGAGACACGGUCCAGACUCCUACGGGAGGCAGCAGUGGGGAAUAUUGCACAAUGGGCGCAAGCCUGAUGCAGCCAUGCCGCGUGUGUGAAGAAGGCCUUCGGGUUGUAAAGCACUUUCAGCGGGGAGGAAGGCGGUGAGGUUAAUAACCUCAUCGAUUGACGUUACCCGCAGAAGAAGCGCCGGCUAACUCCGUGCCAGCAGCCGCGGUAAUACGGAGGGUGCAAGCGUUAAUCGGAAUUACUGGGCGUAAAGCGCACGCAGGCGGUCUGUCAAGUCGGAUGUGAAAUCCCCGGGCUCAACCUGGGAACUGCAUUCGAAACUGGCAGGCUAGAGUCUUGUAGAGGGGGGUAGAAUUCCAGGUGUAGCGGUGAAAUGCGUAGAGAUCUGGAGGAAUACCGGUGGCGAAGGCGGCCCCCUGGACAAAGACUGACGCUCAGGUGCGAAAGCGUGGGGAGCAAACAGGAUUAGAUACUCUGGUAGUCCACGCCGUAAACGAUGUCGAUUUGGAGGUUGUGCCCUUGAGGCGUGGCUUCCGGAGCUAACGCGUUAAAUCGACCGCCUGGGGAGUACGGCCGCAAGGUUAAAACUCAAAUGAAUUGACGGGGGCCCGCACAAGCGGUGGAGCAUGUGGUUUAAUUCGAUGCAACGCGAAGAACCUUACCUGGUCUUGACAUCCACAGAACUUUCCAGAGAUGGAUUGGUGCCUUCGGGAACUGUGAGACAGGUGCUGCAUGGCUGUCGUCAGCUCGUGUUGUGAAAUGUUGGGUUAAGUCCCGCAACGAGCGCAACCCUUAUCCUUUGUUGCCAGCGGUUAGGCCGGGAACUCAAAGGAGACUGCCAGUGAUAAACUGGAGGAAGGUGGGGAUGACGUCAAGUCAUCAUGGCCCUUACGACCAGGGCUACACACGUGCUACAAUGGCAUAUACAAAGAGAAGCGACCUCGCGAGAGCAAGCGGACCUCAUAAAGUAUGUCGUAGUCCGGAUUGGAGUCUGCAACUCGACUCCAUGAAGUCGGAAUCGCUAGUAAUCGUAGAUCAGAAUGCUGCGGUGAAUACGUUCCCGGGCCU
rnacentral:rRNA from 1 species